rnacentral:misc_RNA from 1 species
GGAAUUCCCUUCAGGAGGAUUGCCUGACAUAUUUUCCCUGCUUGGAAAGGCAGCUAGGGAUAUACUGGAUGCUAUCAGCUUCUAUUUAAACUUACGUAGCUCUCCUUUUACAGAAAUACUUGAUAAUGUUCCCUUGAGAAGUCGGGAAAUUUCCUCUUCGGUAUUGUCUGUCUGCUGUUAUGCUAGACCAUCAUUCCAGAGAGCGCAGCCCCAUAAUUUAACUGAUCGAGAGGAUGGUCAGAUGGUUAUGUAUUCUGAUCAUGAGCACCAACUUGAUAAAAGCCUCAUAUCUCUUGUUAAGUCCGAUAAGGCGGGUUUACAUGUUAGAGAUUU